GCUCAGCACUGCUGUGGAGCAGCCUUCAGCCAAAAAACAUAGAACCCUUGGUUUCCUUUUCUACCCUGCUGUCUUUGUUUCUGAGAAGAAGGAAUCCCAUCUGUGCGGUGCAAGGAUGGCCCUGCCCAAGCGUCUGAGCUGGCGGUCCGAGCAUCCCCUUCCUCCCUUGACUGAUGUGGGUUUAUCCUCAUCAACUUUCAUGCCUCUGCCUCCCCUUCUCCCUGAGUUGAUCUCUCUGCAAAAGAUCUUCGAGUUGCAUAAGCUUCUCCUUUCCUUCACUCUAUAGGACCUGAACAAACACGCAGGCUCCUGGCCAAAGAAUAUUGCAUUUCAGAACACAAGGACACAGCAGAAGAAAAGAAAAGCAGAAGGAGCCCUUCCUUAAAGUCUUGCCUUCAAAACCAAUGCAAUUCAACAUGAGUUACGAGUGAUCACCAGGCCACCAAGCGUGGCAGAAGGUCGCGCCCCACAGCCUUGCCUUGGGGCUGCGAGGAAGGACCCAGACCCAAGCAUUCUGCAGUUUGCUGCGACUUCUUUCCAGCCAGGAACGUGUGACUCUGAUCCCAGAAUUAAAGCUGAAGAAGCUACAGGCAAAAGGUGAGGAAAGCCAAGCCGGAAGUCUGCU